UGAACGCUGGCGGCAGGCCUAACACAUGCAAGUCGAGCGAGAAAGGUCUUCGGACUGAGUACAGCGGCGGACGGGUGAGUAACGCGUAGGAAUCUACCUGGUAGUGGGGGACAACUUGGGGAAACCCAAGCUAAUACCGCAUACGCCCUACGGGGGAAAGCGGGGGAUCUUCGGACCUCGCGCUAUCGGAUGAGCCUGCGUUGGAUUAGCUAGUUGGUGGGGUAAAGGCUCACCAAGGCGACGAUCCAUAGCUGGUCUGAGAGGAUGAUCAGCCACACUGGGACUGAGACACGGCCCAGACUCCUACGGGAGGCAGCAGUGGGGAAUAUUGCGCAAUGGGCGAAAGCCUGACGCAGCCAUGCCGCGUGUGUGAAGAAGGCCCUAGGGUUGUAAAGCACUUUCAAUUGGGAAGAAAGGUUGCGUGUUAAUAGCACGUAGCUGUGACAUUACCUUUAGAAGAAGCACCGGCUAACUCC
rnacentral:rRNA from 1 species